CGGGGGGGGCAAGCGUUGUUCGGAAUUACUGGGCGUAAAGGGCUCGUAGGCGGCCAACUAAGUCGGAUGUGAAAUCCCCAGGCUCAACUUGGGAACUGCAUCCGAUACUGGAUGGCUUGAAUCCGGAAGAGGGAUGCAGAAUUCCAGGUGUAGCGGUGAAAUGCGUAGAUAUCUGGAGGAAUACCGGUGGCGAAGGCGGCAUCCUGGACCGGCAUUGACGCUGAUGAGCGAAAGCUAGGGGAGCAAACGGGAUUAGAUACCCCGGUAGUCCUAGCCCUAAACGAUGAAUGCUUGGUGUGGCGGGUAUCGAUCCCUGCCGUGCCGAAGCUAACGCAUUAAGCAUUCCGCCUGGGGAGUACGGUCGCAAGGCUG
rnacentral:rRNA from 1 species